GCGAAAGUGGCGGAAUUGGCAGACGCGCCAGACUUAGGAUCUGGUCCCGCAAGGGGUGGGGGUUCGAAUCCCCCCUUUCGCACCA
rnacentral:tRNA from 1 species